CAUGAGUUAUGUCAUGUUAUCGAUAUGUGAAUACAUAGCAUAUCAGAAGGCACACCCGGAGAACUGAAACAUCUUAGUACCCGGAGGAAGAGAAAGAAAAUUCGAUUCCCUUAGUAGCGGCGAGCGAAACGGGAAGAGCCCAAACCAACAAGCUUGCUUGUUGGGGUUGUAGGACACUCUAUACGGAGUUACAAAGGACGACAUUAGACGAAUCAUCUGGAAAGAUGAAUCAAAGAAGGUAAUAAUCCUGUAGUCGAAAAUGUUGUCUCUCUUGAGUGGAUCCUGAGUACGACGGAGCACGUGAAAUUCCGUCGGAAUCUGGGAGGACCAUCUCCUAAGGCUAAAUACUCUCUAGUGACCGAUAGUGAACCAGUACCGUGAGGGAAAGGUGAAAAGCACCCCGGAAGGGGAGUGAAAUAGAACCUGAAACCGUGUGCUUACAAGUAGUCAGAGCCCGUUAAUGGGUGAUGGCGUGCCUUUUGUAGAAUGAACCGGCGAGUUACGAUUUGAUGCAAGGUUAAGCAGUAAAUGUGGAGCCGUAGCGAAAGCGAGUCUGAAUAGGGCGUUUAGUAUUUGGUCGUAGACCCGAAACCAGGUGAUCUACCCUUGGUCAGGUUGAAGUUCAGGUAACACUGAAUGGAGGACCGAACCGACUUACGUUGAAAAGUGAGCGGAUGAACUGAGGGUAGCGGAGAAAUU
rnacentral:rRNA from 1 species